UGGAGACCCCCACAACAGCUGCUGAGGGUUUGGGUCCCCUCCCUGCACAACGGCAAUGCCACCGCAGCAUCACACCCCGGGCGUGGCAGCGUCCCUCUGCCCGCCACCCAGGGCAAGCUGGCACUGCAGCAGAUGAUUUUUCACUUUCAACAAAGUCACGAACCAUCCCCUGACUGGCACCAGGCAGGCUACAGAGUGCAGGCAUCCAAUGGGAUGUGAUAAGGGAGUGGAGAGAUCCCUCUGGAUCUUCUCCUCUGCCUUUCCCUCCUCUUUCCUCCACGCCUCACCCAAAAACCCCCAGCACUGCAGAGCAAGAAGAGCUCACCUGCCUUUGAGGGGCAAGCCAAGAUGGGAAAGGCAGGACAGAGCUCUCUGCCUGUCCCCAAAAUCGUCCUGCCAGGAGGAGAGAACCUUAGCCCUCCAUCUCGCCAGCCCAGCAAUCACAGCGAUGAGCCAAGUAUCUCUGGACAGUCUUUAAUUUAUUUCCCGGCGCACACGGACACUGCUGAGAGACUUGAUGGCACCAGCUUAAACAUAAUAAAUUACUCAAGUA